rnacentral:rRNA from 1 species
ACGCACGCUGGCGGCGUGCUUAACCCAUGCAAGUCGAACGGUGAAGCGCCUUCCUUUUUGGUGGGUGUGGAUGAGUGGCGAACGGGUGAGUAACACGUGAGUAACCUGCCCCCUUCUUCUGGAUAACCGCAUGAAAGUGUGGCUAAUACGGGAUAUUCUGGGUCUGUCGCAUGAUGGGUCUGGGAAAGAUAUUGUUUCGGUGGGGGAUGGGCUCGCGGCCUAUCAGCUUGUUGGUGGGGUGAUGGCCUACCAAGGCGGUGACGGGUAGCCGGCCUGAGAGGGUGGACGGUCACACUGGGACUGAGACACGGCCCAGACUCCUACGGGAGGCAGCAGUGGGGAAUAUUGCACAAUGGGCGCAAGCCUGAUGCAGCGACGCCGCGUGAGGGAUGGAGGCCUGCGGGUUGUGAACCUCUUUCGCCAGUGAAGCAGGCCUGCCUCGUUUGUGGGUGGGUUGACGGUAGCUGGAUAAGAAGCGCCGGCUAACUACGUG